UACGAAGGGGGCUAGCGUUGCUCGGAAUCACUGGGCGUAAAGCGCACGUAGGCGGAUUGCUAAGUCAGGGGUGAAAUCCUGGAGCUCAACUCCAGAACUGCCUUUGAUACUGGCGAUCUCGAGUCCGGGAGAGGUGAGUGGAACUGCGAGUGUAGAGGUGAAAUUCGUAGAUAUUCGCAAGAACACCAGUGGCGAAGGCGGCUCACUGGCCCGGUACUGACGCUGAGAAGCGAAAGCAUGGGGAGCGAACAGG
rnacentral:rRNA from 1 species